rnacentral:rRNA from 1 species
GACGAACGCUGGCGGCGUGCCUAAUACAUGCAAGUUGAGCGAUGAAGAUUGGUGCUUGCACCAAUUUGAAGAGCAGCGAACGGGUGAGUAACGCGUGGGGAAUCUGCCUUUGAGCGGGGGACAACAUUUGGAAACGAAUGCUAAUACCGCAUAAUAACUUUAAACAUAAGUUUUAAGUUUGAAAGAUGCAAUUGCAUCACUCAAAGAUGAUCCCGCGUUGUAUUAGCUAGAUGGUGAGGUAAAGGCUCACCAAGGCGAUGAUACAUAGCCGACCUGAGAGGGUGAUCGGCCACAUUGGGACUGAGACACGGCCCAAACUCCUACGGGAGGCAGCAGUAGGGAAUCUUCGGCAAUGGACGAAAGUCUGACCGAGCAACGCCGCGUGAGUGAAGAAGGUUUUCGGAUCGUAAAACUCUGUUGGUAGAGAAGAACGUUGGUGAGAGUGGAAAGCUCAUCAAGUGACGGUAACUACCCAGAAAGGGACGGCUAACUACGUG